rnacentral:rRNA from 1 species
CACGCCCUAAACGAUGCCGACUAGCCGUUUCGAGUAUCGACCCUCGGAGUGGCGCAGCUAACGCGUUAAGUCGGCCGCCUGGGAAGUACGAGCGCAAGCUUAAAACUCAAAGGAAUAGACGGGGACUCGCACAAGUGGUGGAGCAUGAGGUUCAAUUCGACGAUAAACGAAAAACCUUACCAAGGCUUGAAAUGUACAUGAAGACAGACGGAAACGUUUGUCGUCCCUUAAAAGACAUGUGCACAGGUGCUGCAUGGUUGUCGUCAGCUCGUGCUUUGAAGUGUUCCCUUAAGUGGGGUAACGAGCGCAACCCGCGUCGUGUGUUAGAUAUGUCACACGAGACUGCCCCCUCAACUGCUCGCAAGCGAGCAGAAAUAUCAAAUUUCAAAAUCCACAUUCCAAACAGAAAUUGUUUGAGUGUUGGUGCUUGGAGCUUGGUGUUUGUUA